UACCGUUUCAGUUCUCUGAAAUUCACGUUGAGCUUCAUUUGAGAAACUUUACAACGUUGAUUUUUUUUCCCAUAACUAGGUUAGAUAAACGUGUCAUGUUAACACUUCGCGUUACAGCGUUAAUGUUACCUGCACCUGUAAGUUAGACGUGUUUUCGUUCGCAAACGUUAAACACCAUUUAAUUUGAAAUAAAACAAAUAACCUCGUGUCGGCGGUGGAUUUCACUGCUGGUGAUUGAUAUCCCUCUUGAGACAUGUUUACAAUUUGCUGUCGUUUGCGGGCCGAUUAAAGAUAAUCUUGCUGGUAAAUGCAAAACCUCAGACACCGCUUUCAGAUAUUUUUGCCGGCAUCUAGUUAUGUUAUGUACUGGCCUUAAAAUGCUAAUAGCUCUUGACCGAACAUAACAUCGAAUCAACAUCCAGGUCAGCAGCGGGUCGCCUGAUGCCAGCGUGUGGAGCUAAACUGUUCACCGCCUCCUACUGGUGAUGGUGUCCAAGUGUCGGCCACAUCUCUGAUAUGGGAUCACCCGGCAGCACAGGCAUUACUGCUGACAGUGUGACAGGCAGGGAGCAGAGACUUUGGGGACCGGAAAGACCACUUUUUUCCUGAGUGAGAAGGCUGGUUGAGGCAUCUGCUUUUUUGAACAGAUUCUCACCUCAGCCAACGGUCGCCAUUCUUCAGAGGAGACUGAAAAAGUGACUUCCUGGAGGCCCUUCAGUUUCCCUCCUCACCACUGUCUGUCUGCCCAUUUCCCUCCUGUUCCUGCUCUUCCAUGAAAGGUAGGUAGACCACCUGUAAGGAGAAAUGAGGCUAGAUGCUUGGCCAGGAAGCUGGAGCUCAUUGACCAGACGGGUGCGUUGGAUGAUGCGCAGAAGCUCAGUGAGCAGGUGUGGUCGGUCAGCAGAGAGGUGGUCUUGAUCCGACAGACGAGAGAAGAGGUCACUGGUCGACUCCACUGAGGUUGGGUUUCGGCCAAGCAGAUAUUUCUGCCUCUGGAGCCAUGGGGUCUGGAUCUGUGGUUGUAAGGCCACUUACUGCCUUCAUGUUCCUGCUCAACACCUGCUGCUACUGAGAGUGAAUUUUGCUGACUGAUAGUGUAUUUGGAUAGUCAAGCAUAAACAACGUACAGCCAUGAUACAUCAAUUUAUUAUACUUUAAAUGAACAAACAAACAGUUUAUUAUACUUUAAAUCAAUAAACAAACAGGUAAUCCUGCAAUUAUUUUGACAAGAAUCGUCUACUAUCCAUAUGUCAUCACAUAAAAACAUUACUUUUGAUUGGGACAGGUCACAGGAUGUGAAUAGAUUAAAUAAACAACAAACUAAAUUUUAAAAAA